rnacentral:rRNA from 1 species
AGAGUUUGAUCAUGGCUCAGAUUAAACGCUGGCGGCAGGCCUAACACAUGCAAGUCGAGCGAGAAAGCACUUCGGUGUGAGUAGAGCGGCGGACGGGUGAGUAACGCGUAGGAAUUUGCCCAGUAGUGGGGGACAACUUAGGGAAACUUAAGCUAAUACCGCAUACGCCCUAAGGGGGGAAACACUUCGGACCUUGCGCUAUUGGAUGAGCCUGCGUCGGAUUAGCUAGUUGGUGAGGUAAUGGCUCACCAAGGCGACGAUCCGUAGCUGGUCUGAGAGGAUGAUCAGCCACACUGGGACUGAGACACGGCCCAGACUCCUACGGGAGGCAGCAGUGGGGAAUAUUGGACAAUGGGCGAAAGCCUGAUCCAGCUACGCCGCGUGUGUGAAGAAGGCCUGAGGGUUGUAAAGCACUUUCAGUAGGGAAGAAAGGUCAAGUGUUAAUAGCGCUAGGCUGUGACGUUACCUACAGAAGAAGGACCGGCUAACUCCGUGCCAGCAGCCGCGGUAAUACGGAGGGUCCGAGCGUUAAUCGGAAUUACUGGGCGUAAAGCGCACGUAGGCGGUUUCGUAAGUCGAAUGUGAAAGCCCUGGGCUUAACCUGGGAACUGCAUUCGAUACUGCGUAACUAGAGUAUAACAGAGGAAUGUGGAAUUCAGAGUGUAGCGGUGAAAUGCGUAGAUAUUCUGAGGAAUACCGGUGGCGAAGGCGGCCCCCUGGAUUGAUACUGACACUGAGGUGCGAAAGCGUGGGUAGCAAACAGGAUUAGAUACCCUGGUAGUCCACGCCGUAAACGAUGUCUACUAGCCGUUGGAAUCCUUAGAGGUUUUAGUGGCGCAGCUAACGCAAUAAGUAGACCGCCUGGGGAGUACGGCCGCAAGGCUAAAACUCAAAUGAAUUGACGGGGGCCCGCACAAGCGGUGGAGCAUGUGGUUUAAUUCGACGCAACGCGAAGAACCUUACCUACUCUUGACAUCCUCUGCCCUCGGCAGAGAUGCCUUGGUGCCUUCGGGAACCGAGUGACAGGUGCUGCAUGGCUGUCGUCAGCUCGUGUCGUGAGAUUUUGGGUUAAGUCCCGUAACGAGCGCAACCCUUGUCCUUAUUUGCCAGCACGUAAUGGUGGGAACUCAGGGAGACUGCCGGUGAUAAACCGGAGGAAGGUGGGGAUGACGUCAAGUCAUCAUGGCCCUUACGGCCAGGGCUACACACGUGCUACAAUGGAUGGUACAGACGGACGCAAAGCGGCGACGUGGAGCAAAUCCGAGAAAGCCGGUCGUAGUCCGGAUUGGAGUCUGAAACUCGACUCCAUGAAGUCGGAAUCGCUAGUAAUCGCGAAUCAGCAUGUCGCGGUGAAUACGUUCCCGGGCCUUGUACACACCGCCCGUCACACCAUGGGAGUGGGUUGCACCAGAAGCAGAUAGUCUAACCUUCGGGAGGGCGUUUGCCACGGUGUGCUUCAUGACUGGGGUGAAGUCGUAACAAGGUAGCCGUAGGGGAACCUGCGGCUGGAUCACCU